UACGGAGGGUGCAAGCGUUAUCCGGAUUCACUGGGUUUAAAGGGUGCGUAGGCGGGCAGGUAAGUCAGUGGUGAAAUCUCAGAGCUUAACUCUGAAACUGCCGUUGAUACUAUCUGUCUUGAAUAUUGUGGAGGUAAGCGGAAUAUGUCAUGUAGCGGUGAAAUGCUUAGAUAUGACAUAGAACACCUAUUGCGAAGGCAGCUUACUACGCAAUCAUUGACGCUGAGGCACGAAAGCCGUGAGGAUCAAACAGG
rnacentral:rRNA from 1 species